ACGUAGGGAAAUCAAAUUUAAAUGUCAAAUCAUUCCGGCUUAAAUAUGUACAUAAAAGUACUCUUUAUCAGACGAUAUUGUCCAAAAUUUCGAUUUUUUUUAUUUUUUAAACUAAAUCCCGUGUUCAAAUCUGUGUUUCUAUUUUCGUUAUCUAAUGCCGGCCAGUUAAUUAUACGUCAGCUUGUACACCUAAAUUCGGCCAAUCAUAUUGCGUCAAUCAUUUUUUUGGGUCAUAGCAUCUUGAUUCAUAUGUCGCAGCUUAUAUACGCAACGGUUAAUAAUUCACCCGGAACCUUCUAAAGACGUCGAGGGGUACACUUCAGGACCAGCCGUACACUCGGCUACACACCCAGCUGUAAUGGAGCCUCUCUGUUGUGUGCCCAAAUCUCAAAGAGAAAAAAAAUCCUACUGUGGACACUGGACAGACUUUCCACCGUUUCCUCAAAGGGCAGGCACUUCGGCGUGAAUGGAUAAAUCACAUCCAGAGGGAAUCUGGUCCAUAUUUCAAGAUCAACGCUGAGACCAAGGUUUGCUCUGAACACUUUGAGAAGCAGUGCUUUGUGAAGACCGCCUGUGGAAUCACAAAGCUUAUAAAGCAUGCUGUGCCAACCUUGUUCGUCUGGACUUCAGAGAGGCCAAAGAUGAGAAUCAUCAUUCGUAGACCGAGUAUGGAUUCCAUGGAGGUGGAUGAAAACCAGCCUGAUGAGAGAAGGGAUGCCUUGAGCAGAGGUACCUCCUCUACACCCGUACCAUGAUUAUGCUGUUCCACCACCAGAGGCCAGAGACACCAGAGGAACAACUUGAGGCGGCUCGCAAGCACAUCAUUGAGCAAGACAAGUUAAUAGCACAACUUAAAGAUAAAAGUGUUCAGUGUGUCGGGAUUCCAGUGUGAUGAUGGUCAGAUGUCAUUUUACACAGGAUUCCCAGACUAUGCCACCUUUUAAAGCUGUAUAUAUGGCUCUACAGCCCACAGCCACAGGCAUGGUUGGAUGGAGUCAGGCUCAAAGGCUUACACAAACAGAGGUACAGGUCAUCAGAAAGGCAUUUAAUAUCCCUAAACUAGCAAUUAUGGACCAGUUCUUUCUCUUCCUCUGUCGUCUCAGACAAGGUUUUGCUGAGCAGUGCACUUUGGUGUGUCACAGUCAACUGUGAGCAGAAUCUGUGUCACCUGGGCUAACUAUCUAUACUUCAUGUUAGGAGUAGAUUAAUGUAUGCCUACUUGUUUUCAAAACACUUACCCAGACACCAGAGUCAUUCUAGACUGUACAGAAAUAUAUGUGCAAACGCCUAGUUUGUAGGUACUUGACUCCGAAAUCUAUUCCCAUUACAAGGACAACCCAACUUUCAAAGGCCUGAUUGGAAUUGCCCCGUCUGGUGAGGUGUCAUUCGUUAGUGACCUGUACACAGGCUCCAUAUCCGAGAAGGAGAUUACAGAAUUGUCCGGCAUCCUAGCAAUGCUUGAAGAAGGCGAUUUAAGUCAUGGCAGACAAAGGGUUUCUAAUUAAGGAAAUGCUAUCAAAAUUAAAUGUCUCCCUUGUGACUCCACCCUUUUUAGGCCCAAGUGGCACUUUCAGUGCAGAUGAAGUCACAGAAACACAAACAAUCGCAAGACUCAAUCGCAAUCGCAAGAUAAGGAGAAUAAAAGAGUUACACAUAUUUGAUGGCGUCAUACCCAUGACACUAGUAGGCUCUGUUAACCAGAUGUGGGCUGUGAGUGCAAUGUUAACAAACUUCCAAGGCCCAUUAUUCUGAUUUUCUGAAAAAUUAUCAGUCACAAGUGAAAUAGGAAACAUAGAUUGAAUUGAUGUUUAUUUGUACAAAUCUGUCAUGUUUCAAAUGUACAUCAUAUUCAUAUCAUCUUAUUGUACUAAAUGAUAUUAUUUAUUAUAUAUUGUAUUGUACAAUUCAUACAUCAUUUCUCCCAGAAAUUGUAAUAAAGAAAUCUGUGAAAUGCAAUCCUUU